rnacentral:lncRNA from 1 species
UCCUGUUAUGCACUGAGUAGUAGACAUCUCCAAUCAGGGUAGGAAUAGGGUUUCUCUGCAUAAACAAUCUGAUAGCAUUAUGGUCCACAAAAUUCUUCUGGUUAGGAAACAACACAAUCCCAUAAAACCGGCAGUUGACUUUGCCAUAAGGAACCUUACCCCUCCUCUGGAUAUCUCGCCAUUCGUCCAAUACCUGCCUCAACUUGGUCUGGUUACCAUCAAUCGGGAAAUAGAAGGACUCCUGAAUCUCUCGCUCGAGAGGAGGACCCUCUAUAGCAAACCCCAUCUGUCUCCGGAGAAGCAUCGGGUUGUAAUUAAUGCAACCCUGAACUCCCACCAAAGGCACAUUAGGUAAACUCCCAC